UAUAUGAACCAAAGGGGUUGCAGCUCGUUAAAUGCGUUUGUUAUUCCCAGGUGGUGAGGGUUUAACUUUCAAAGUGUGCAAAAUGAACUAUCUAGGAGUAGCAUAGCUAUUCCUGAGUUGGAUGAGAACAAGUAUGUCAAUGAGACUAUUCGGGUGGAAUAUGAAUGGAAACCACCGAGAUGUGCCCACUGCUGUGUAUUUGGGCAUGAUUCUGAGGAGUGUCCAAAAUGCAUUCGAUUGACAGUGAAACCUCCUACAAACAGUCCGAAAGUAGAUGAGGAUGGUUAUACGUAAGUCAAGACAAAGAAGAAUGUUAAG
rnacentral:lncRNA from 1 species